rnacentral:misc_RNA from 1 species
UGUCUGUGGAGCAUUUCUUUAA